rnacentral:rRNA from 1 species
UACGUAGGGGGCGAGCGUUGUCCGGAAUCAUUGGGCGUAAAGCGCGUGUAGGCGGCUUGGUAAGUCCGGUGUGAAACCUUGGGGCUCAACCCCAAGCCUGCACUGGAUACUGCCUCGCUUGAGUCCGGGAGGGGAGAGCGGAAUCCUAGUGUAGCGGUGAAAUGCGCAGAUAUUAGGAAGAACACCGGUGGCGAAGGCGGCUACUCUGGAACGGUACUGACGCUGAG